GUCAUGUGGUGGGGGCCGCCCGGCCGUUCCGAUCCAGGGGCUCCAGGAGCUGGGGCUUUGGGGAGCAGCAGGAACUCAGUGGAAAAUAGGAAAGCCCAGAGUGGAACAGACUAGUCCAGUCUCCUGUCACCAACAGUGGCCAGAUGCUCCGAAAGAAGAAGACAAGGUCAAAGAAAUGUGCCUUGCACUUGGAGCAGAAGGUGGUGAGGUUUAUGAUGAUGGUCCUUAGUUCCUGGUAGAGUCCAAUCCACUGUCCGGACCAGCCCCCCGCCCCAAAAGUUCCGUCUCCUGCACAGACAAGCUUCACCCUUAUGGUAGAGCGUUCCAUUGUGCCAGAGGAGUGUAAUUGUCCAUCAUGGUAUUUAUCCCAGAGUGUUAGUUGUUCUUUUAGAUACCCUUGGCCCAGGCUUUGAGUGCCUUGAAGAUAAGGAUCGAGAUGUUAAACUGGAGUCAAUGUGCUAUGCAAAGCCAGUGUAGGGAGCAGAGGACAGGUCAGGUGUGUUUGCAGUAGCCAGUGUUGCUGAGCAGAUGUGCUGCAGCCUUAAACUAUGUCGUACCGCACUGUACUACAGAAAGUAUCAGGGAUAUGUGCAGGGUCUGGAGUUUCUGUUCCAAGUAUUUGUUUAUUGUGUUUGUCUUUCAUUGGCUAUUCUUUUUUGUUUCCAGAAGUAAUAUACGAGGCCAAACUAAUAGGAGACCUGGUUUUCUCAUGGCAUUUCAGUUCCUGGAUUGUAGGAAUCUUACAAGAAGAUUCAUGUGUUAAUAUCUCUUCACGGCCAAAAAUAAAUACAUCAGUAAAAACAUAACAGCAGCAUUAUUUAGACUUUUUCAAGUAUCCAGCUGUACAGUCCUAGAAACUGCCCUGGUACAACAGUCACUGAAUACUUCAGACACUAUAGAUUCAUUUUCAUGGUCAUUGUGUGUUUUGGGACAUGGCAAAUCCUCAUCUUAGACCACACUGCUGAAAUCAGAGCUGUCUGUGUCUCAAAAUUCUCUUAGGCGAAAACUACCUCUCAAUAAAAUUUAUAUUGAUCUGAUUAUUUGUAGAGUGCUGUAAACAUACAUGAUCCAUGUGAAUAAGAUGAGGUCUCCUGGCUUGAGAAAUGUACAUACAAACUCAGAAGAACACAAUCCUCUGGGUUAUGGUUCAAGCUGAAGAAUGUGGAUUUGCCAUACCAUGAAUUGUUUAAUCAAAGCUCAGGUUUGCUCAAAAAUAUACCGGCAAAAUCUUCUGUUCUCUUACAAAGGGGCAUCUUCCAUUGAUUUAACUGGGAUUGCACAGGGGUAACCAACAGCAGCAUCUGGCCCACAAGAGUCCAAUUAGCAUUCAUAGCCAUGUAAGUGGUAUUGUCGGAGUGGAUACCCCAAGCUGAUGUGCUUCUGCUUGUAACAGGAAACAGUCCAGACUUGCCUUGCUACAAUCUCACUGAUGCUCAUCUCAGUUCCCCACCCACAGAUUCAA